rnacentral:misc_RNA from 1 species
GAUGAAGAACGUAGCGAAAUGCGAUAAGUAAUGUGAAUUGCAGAAUUCAGCGAAUCAUCGAAUCUUUGAACGCACAUUGCGCCCCCUGGCAUUCCGGGGGGCAUGCCUGUUCGAGCGUCUCCAGGACGAAUCCUCGCGCGAGUGAACGCGCGGUCGUGGCGGAGGUGGCGUGCCCGAGCAGGGCGGCCACCGCGCUGGAAUCCAUGGGCGGACGCCUGCCGCGUGGCCGAGCGUGAUAUGACGCAUUGGCGCUCGUGCGCGGCGAGGCUGCCAGCCCUGGCCCGUCUGUCGGGCGGGGUAGAUCAACACGUGGGAACUCCUCGAAUCAGGUAGGGAUACCCGCUGAACUUAAGCAUAUCAAUAAGCGGAGGA